AUUGAACGCUGGCGGCAGGCCUAACACAUGCAAGUCGAGCGGAUGAAGGGAGCUUGCUCCUGGAUUCAGCGGCGGACGGGUGAGUAAUGCCUAGGAAUCUGCCUGGUAGUGGGGGAUAACGUCCGGAAACGGGCGCUAAUACCGCAUACGUCCUGAGGGAGAAAGUGGGGGAUCUUCGGACCUCACGCUAUCAGAUGAGCCUAGGUCGGAUUGGCUAGUUGGUGGGGUAAAGGCCUACCAAGGCGACGAUCCGUAACUGGUCUGAGAGGAUGAUCAGUCACACUGGAACUGAGACACGGUCCAGACUCCUACGGGAGGAAGCAGUGGGGAAUAUUGGACAAUGGGCGAAAGCCUGAUCCAGCCAUGCCGCGUGUGUGAAGAAGGUCUUCGGAUUGUAAAGCACUUUAAGUUGGGAGGAAGGGCAGUAAGUUAAUACCUUGCUGUUUUGACGUUACCAACAGAAUAAGCACCGGCUAACUUCGUG
rnacentral:rRNA from 1 species